rnacentral:rRNA from 1 species
GUUUGAUCCUGGCUCAGGACGAACGCUGGCGGCGUGCCUAACACAUGCAAGUCGAACGGAGUUAUGUCCGACACGGAGCUGUUUAGAGGGAAGCAGAGACAGUUGCGUGUUGGAUAUAACUUAGUGGCGGACGGGUGAGUAACGCGUGAGCAACCUGCCUUUAAGUGGGGGAUAACACUGGGAAACCGGUGCUAAUACCGCAUAAAAUGCGACCAUGGCAUCAUGGAUGCAUCAAAGAUUUAUCGCUUAAAGAUGGGCUCGCGUAUGAUUAGAUAGUUGGUGAGGUAACGGCUCACCAAGUCGACGAUCAUUAGCCGGACUGAGAGGUUGACCCGGCCACCAUUGGACUGAAGAAUACGGCCAGACUCCCUACGGGAGGCAGCAGUGGGGAAUAUUGCGCAAUGGGGGAAACCCUGACGCCAGCAACGCCGCGUGAAGGAUGAAGGUUUUCGGAUUGUAAACUUCUUUUGCCGAGGACGAAGAAGUGACGGUACUCGGCGAAUAAGCCACGGCUAACUACGUGCCAGCAGCCGCGGUAAUACGUAGGUGGCAAGCGUUGUCCGGAUUUACUGGGUGUAAAGGGCGAGUAGGCGGGAUAUCAAGUCAGAUGUGAAAUCUGGGGGCUUAACCCCCAAACUGCAUUUGAAACUGAUGUUCUUGAGUGAUGGAGAGGCAGGCGGAAUUCCCGGUGUAGCGGUGGAAUGCGUAGAUAUCGGGAGGAACACCAGUGGCGAAGGCGGCCUGCUGGACAUUAACUGACGCUGAGGAGCGAAAGCGUGGGGAGCAAACAGGAUUAGAUACCCUGGUAGUCCACGCCGUAAACGAUGGAUACUAGGUGUGGGAGGUAUUGACCCCUUCCGUGCCGGAGCAAACGCAAUAAGUAUCCCACCUGGGGAGUACGAUCGCAAGGUUGAAACUCAAAGGAAUUGACGGGGGCCCGCACAAGCAGUGGAGUAUGUGGUUUAAUUCGAAGCAACGCGAAGAACCUUACCAGGACUUGACAUCCGACUAACGAAGCGGAAACGCAUUAGUGCCCUUCGGGGAAAGUCGAGACAGGUGUGCAUGGUUGUCGUCAGCUCGUGUCUGUGAGAAUGUUGGGUUAAGUCCCGCAACGAGCGCAACCCUUAUUGUUAGUUGAUACAGUUCGGCUGAUCACUUCUAGCGAGAACUGCCGUUGACACAAACGGAGGAAGGUGGGGAUGACGUCAAAUCAUCAUGCCCCUUAUGUUCUGGGCUACACACGUACUACAAUGGCGGAAAACAGAGGGAAGCGAUGUGGCGACACGGAGCAAAACCCUAAAAGCCGUCUCAGUUCAGAUUGCAGGCUGCAACUCGCCUGCAUGAAGGCGGAAUUGCUAGUAAUCGCGGAUCAGCACGCCGCGGUGAAUACGUUC